CCUACGGGAGGCAGCAGUGGGGAAUAUUGGGCAAUGGGCGCAAGCCUGACCCAGCAACGCCGCGUGAAGGAAGAAGGCUUUCGGGUUGUAAACUUCUUUUCUGAGGGACGAAGAAAGUGCCGGUACCUCAGGAAUAAGCCACGGCGAACUACGUGCCCGCAGCCGCGGAAACACGUAGGUGGCAAGCGUUAUCCGGAUGUAUUGGGUGUAAAGGGCGUGUAGGCGGGAAAGCAAGUCAGAUGUGAAAACUCAGGGCUCAACCCUGAGCCUGCAUUUGAAACUGGUUUUCUUGAGUGCUGGAGAGGCAAGCGGAAUGCCGGGUGUAGCGGUGAAAUGCGUAGAUAUACGGAGGAACACCAGUGGCGAAGGCGGAUUGCUGGACAGUAACUGACGCUGAGGCGCGAAAGCGUGGGGAGCAAACAGGAUUAGAUACCCGAGUAGUC
rnacentral:rRNA from 1 species